rfam:Ictidomys tridecemlineatus contig099862, whole genome shotgun sequence.
GGGGUUGUGGCUCAGUGGGAGAGCUCUCGCCUGGCAUGUGUGAGGCACUGGGUUUGAUCCUCAGCACCCCA